AUUUAAACAACUGUUAUACGAAAGCACAAUUUAGUUUGUGUUAAAGAGUCUACGGUAUAAUACGGAGACAAAACUUCUGGCCUUUCUGUUGCAGGAGGACGGAAAUGCAUACGCGUCCAGUCGCAUUUUGUCGGUUGCCGGUUUUGUUUUCCUUGGCCAGAAUAAAUGGUUGGUUCUACCCGUUAAGCUAACGGCUACACAGUCGGCAAUUACAAACGGAUAAUGAAAGUUUCGUUUCAAUGAUUGCAACGCUGAAAAGCUGAAGUUGUAAAGGCAAAUUCAGAAAAAAAAACAAAGUCACAAAAUUCACUUGAUAUGCCGUGUUUUGUUGUUUGAGCAGGUUGUGUUGCGCGAUUCGGUCUGUCGUUGGCUAGAGUUUGUGUUGUGUGCGUGGCGCAGCCGAGAACGAGUGUCGUGAGUCGUUGAAACGGCUUUUCUGUGCUUACUCGGUAGCACGCAAAUGUCCUGCCAGUGAUUUAAGCUGUGUGUUGGACUUACAAACAACCGUUAUGUGAACAAAACUAUAAGUGGGCGCGGUUAUUAUCCGAUUUCUUCGAUUUUUGAACUGUAUAUGGAAAUGCCUGAAGAAAACGACUCUAUAGAGUUUGGUUGACAUAGCUAUAGUAGUUUCCGAGAUAUGCACAAAAAACUUAGUAAGGGCGGGGCCACGCCCACUUUUCCAAAAAAUGGCGUCCAAAUAUGCCCCUCCCUAAUGCGAUCCUUUGUGCCAAAUUUCACUUUAAUAUCUUUAUUUAUGGCUUAGUUAUGACACUUUAUAGGUUUUUGGUUUCCGCCAUUUUGUGGGCGUGGCAGUGGACCGAUUUUACCCAUCUUCGAACUUAACCUUCUUAAAGAGCCAAGAAAUACGUGUACCAAGUUUCAUCAUGAUAUCUCAAUUUUUACUCAAGUUACAGCUUGCACGGACGGACGGACGGACGGACAGAAGGACGGACAGACGGACGGACAGACGGACGGACAGACGGACGGACAGACGGACGGACGGACAAACAGACAUCCGGAUUUCAACUCUACUCGUCACUCUGAUCACUUUGGUAUAUAUAACCCUAUAUCUGACUCUUUUAGUUUUAGGACGUACAAACAACCGUUAUGUGAACAAAACUAUAAUACUCUCCUUAGCAACUUUGUUGCGAGAGUAUAAAAAUAAGAAUAGGAGAGGUAGCGGCAACAACAGGCAGCAAGCUAGCAGCUUCGAGUAGCUUUGCAAGUCAAGAACUUGACGUGCUUUUUUCCAACAAAAUUUCCUUAGUCCCUUUGAAAAUUGUUGCAUACUUAUGUGCGCUGCCUCUAUAAACAAUAUGCAUACACAUAUACCUACAUAUGCAAAUGGAGUGGUAGUGCAAAAGUUGAAAUGAAAUGUUGCAGCGAACUUUGAUUUAGUAAACUAGAACGCAAUUUUCAGGCACAACAUAAAUAAGUCUGAAGAAAAGUUAUACUCGAGCAUUGCUGGUAGCUGGUAUCGGCAUACACCUGCUAGAAAGUUCAAUAUAUGGUAGUCUUAUGUUGCCGUAAAGCACCUUUAUCCAACUGGAUUUUCAUGCGUUUCUCCGGUAAGCCCACACAUCGUAUUGAGUAAAUAAAUUUCGUUAUGAAAGUUCUCAGCUCUAUUUUCGCUUUUGCUUCCCUGCAAAAAGCAUUGGUCCUAUAACACAAAAUCAGUGGUAUAAAGAUAGAUUGAAAAAUCUUCUUUUCAUCUAGACCAAUGUGACUAGAUGGUGGCAUGUAGUUUUGCAUUGCCGAAUGACGACUAAAUACUCGUAUAUUCACUUGUUAUGUCAAUGAGCACAAAAAAGAACAAAGGCUGCAAGUGAACACGUGCCGUUUUGAAUUGUGAGUGUUGAACAAAAAUUUAUAAAAAUUUAAGUGUAAUUGCUAUAAUUUAUAUAAUUAAAUUAAAAUAAUCAAUAAAAAAUGUGUUAUUCUAAAAGGCACAUGAGAAGAUUAGUGAAGAGGAAGCGUGAUGAAUAUUUUUAAGUGGUAGCGAAAAUCCAAAUGACGCGGUAGAAGAGCGUCAUGACGCCAUUCUUGAAAACACAAUUGAAGACAGUUUUAAUUGUGAAAUUCAUGACGAAAUUCCGAAAGCAAGAACAUUCCUUGAAAAAAUUAGGAAAUGGCAAUUAGAUGCAAGAAUAUCUUAUAAAAAUCUGCGUGCACUUUUGAAAAUUUUAAAUGAAAGUGGAUUAGAUGUUCCGUUAAGACUGUCUACUUUGAUGCAAGUAAACUUGGAAAAAAUAUCAACAAAAGAUGUAUCUCCUGGGGAUUUAAUAUAUUUUGGUUUACAAAACCAAAUACAAAAAAUUGAAGGAAUUUCAAGUUUACUUCAUAAAUAUUGACGGAUUACCUCUAUUCAAAUCUUCACAAAAACAAUUAUGGCCAAUUUUAGUGAAAGUGGUUAGCUGUAAUAAAUCUGUUGUAUUUCCUGUUGCAAUCUACGAAGGAAAAACUAAACCUGAUGAUAUUUGUGUAUAUUUGGAGAGUUUUGUUGCAGAAUUAGAAAUUUUAUUAAAUAAUGGAGUUGCCAUCAAUGGCAAAUUUAUUCCACUGAAUGUACGAGUUGUGAUAUGUGGUGCACCAGCAAAAUCUUUUGUUUGUGGUAUUGCUCAUCAUUCAUCAGCUCAUGGCUGCUCCAAAUGUACACAAAUAGCCAAAAAACAAAGAAAAAAAAAUUAGCGUAUUCCACUCAAAUUGGGAAUUUAAUUACAAAUGCUGAUUUUGCUGCAAGAAAAUAUAAAGAUCAUCAUUUGAAUAAAUUUAUUUCUUCAAAAUCACCUUUGGAAAAAAUAAAUGUAAAUAUGAUCAGUAAAGUGCCAUUGGAUCCAAUGCAUUUGAUUGACAUGGGUGUUACCAAGAAAAUGUUGAUUGCCUUAUUGAAAAAAAAUCAAAGUACAAAAUGAGCAAAAGUAGCCAAGAAGAAAUGUCAUCCCAAUUUGAGUUGAUAAGGAAAUAUAUUCCAAAAGAGUUUGUUAGAUUGCCAAGGAGUUUCAAAGAAAUUCACCAUUGGAAAGCAACAGAGUUUGGACAAUUUCUGCUUUACACUGGAAUCUUAUUGUUAAAAGACCACGUGCACGAAGAUUUUUAUUAUGAAUUUCUGCUUUUUCAUUGCGCGUGUAGACUUAGACGUUAUUUUGCCAGAUAUACGUAUUUCAAUUAAAAAAAUUAAGAAGUCAAAUGCAGGGGAAAUAAUAUUGGAAGCAGUCUGGUUUAAAAAUGUCCAUCCAUUCUUUACAGCUCCAUUUACUUCAUUAGCUCUAGGAAUAGCACUUUCGGAUUCAUUAUCUGAAGAAAUUGAAGAAUUUAAAGCAGAUGAUGUAGCAUAUAAAUUGAUGUUGCUUCCUUCUUCACAAAAUUUUCUACUAUUGCCUUUAUUAAAUAGCUGCACUUUUUAAUAGAUAACAAAAAGCAAAACGAAUAUAAAAAAAAUAUAAUAUAAAAAAUAUAAUAUAAAAAAAAAAAUAAAAUAUAAAAAAAAACGAAAUAUUUAUAUGAAAGUGACUCAGCAACAACCAAAUCAGAUAAGACAAUUUGACUUCAAAGAUAAUGAAAUAAUAAUUUGUGAGUAUAUUUUGUUUCUAACUUUUCAUAACGGAUUAAUAAUUUUUAAAAUAAUUCUAUAGGUGAUUCGCAAAUUCAUUCCGAAAACAACAAUAGCGGCAGCAGCAAUAACAACAACUAUCUCAAAACCAAUAAUAAUACCAACUUCCCCAACAGCAAUAGCAAUAACAAAACUUGUGAAAGGUGCAAAUCUUUGGAGGCUAAAAUUGACGAUUUGAACACUAAAUUUGACAACAUGCUAGAUAUUUUUUUAAAUAAAAUUUUGAUGCAAAUAAUUUUAAAAAUGAUUAUUUUCCAGAUUAGCUUAAAAAAAUGAUGGAAGUUUAGGCAAAGCAAGGCGCCCAAUUAAGCGUUCUUGCUAAUAAGGACGCAGAUAUGAGGAAUUAGAGCAAACUCUUCCCUAUAAAAACCAUUGAAGAAAUGGAAAGCGUCAAUAACGCCAUAAAUGAGGUGAACAUCAAUGAAUAUAUUAACGCAAUAAAACACUUAUUAAAUGGGGAUCCAGAAAAGCACUUUGAGGAAAUUAUCUCCAGAUCUAUGUGCAACGAAGUCAAUGUAGGCGGCGUCCAUGCCAAGAUUUGCCUGAAAAAAUAUACUUCCUUGUAUGAUGCGAUUAUAAGUGGAUUGUCGGCGACGUCAGAAAAGCCCGAUAAGCAACUAUCGAAAUGCCUCCACAUUGUUAAAAAAAAGGCUGUAUAGAUUGACCACAGUUAAUAAACUAAAAAUUGAAAAUAACUAAUAUAAUUAACACUAUUGACUUUUUUUUAUCUUCUUCUUAAUUGGCGUAGACACCGCUUACGCGAUUAUAGCCGAGUUAACAACAGCGCGCCAGUCGUUUCUUCUUUUCUCUGCGUGGCGCCAAUUGGAUAUUCCAAGCGUAGCCAGGUCCUUCUCCACCUGUUCCUUCCAAGGGAGUGGAGGUCUUCCUCUUCCUCUGCUUCCCCGGCGGGUACUGCGUCGAAUACUUUCAGAGCUGGAGUGUUUUCGUAAAUUCGGACAACAUGACCUAGCCAGCGUAGCCGCUGUCUUUUAAUUCGCUGAACUAUGUCAAUGUCGUCGUAUAUCUCGUACAGCUCAUCGUUCCAUUGAAUGCUAUAUUCGCCGUGGCCAACGCGCAAAGGACCAUAAAUCUUUCGCAGAACUUUUCUCUCAAAAACUCGCAACGUCGACUCAUCCGUUGUUGACAUCG